UACGGAGGGGGCUAGCGUUGUUCGGAAUUACUGGGCGUAAAGCGCACGUAGGCGGCUUUGUAAGUUAGAGGUGAAAGCCCGGGGCUCAACUCCGGAAUUGCCUUUAAGACUGCAUCGCUCGAAUUGUGGAGAGGUAAGUGGAAUUCCGAGUGUAGAGGUGAAAUUCGUAGAUAUUCGGAAGAACACCAGUGGCGAAGGCGACUUCCUGGACCAAUACUGACGCUCAUGUGCGAAAGCGUGGGGAGCAAACAGG
rnacentral:rRNA from 1 species